GCAGCGCGCGUCCAUCUUUACCUUUUGGAACAGCAAUGGCUCGUCCCUAAAUUCGCUUCUUUUUGGAAGAAUUCAACUUUUUUAAUGGUCUUGUCACCCGUUUCUUGGUAGUCUCGUUUAUUCGAAGAAGAGAACUCCAGUUUACCCACAAGUAAAAUACCUUCUACAGAAUUGUUUUUCACUACAAGGUCCUCCUCAUCCGACCCUUAAUGGAGAAAGCCGUAGCAAAUUCUCACUCCAGCAGAAAGGUUAGCUAGCUGUUCGCGGAAUGAUAAGAGGAGAUGCCCAGCUGGAAGAAAACCAGUGGUGAGCUGCCAGGGUGCGGCAAGGCACUGCACAGAGCUGUGAGCGCGGGACAGGCCACGGGAGGAAUGUAUCCAACAGAUAGAACCUACUCCUGAGAAACUGUCCUUAGGAAGCCAGUUGUGGCGCUGCAGGCUUAUAAGCUCUGGGGAGACGGGAACAGGCAGAGCCCCAGUACUCACUGGCCAGCUGUCUAGCUUCCUUGGCAAGUUCCAGGUGAUGGGCCUAGGGCACAGGAAAUGCCCUUCCUGAGGCAGCAGAGUGUGCACAGCACAGCGCCUGCAUGACAGAAGGCCUUCUUACCGGACCUCAGUGUGUGCCGGACACUUAACAGGACCGAACUCUACCCUCUGCAGCCACAUCCUCUACUGCUGACCUAUACCCCCGGCCACUCUUAAAGACAAGCAUGGGGCUCAGUGGAAGGGCACUCGCCCAGUGUGUGUGCGGCCCUGCACUACAAAACAAAGUUCAAAAACUGUUUAAGAGAAAAGUCACGAAGGAGAAGUGGCUCACCCACAUUCCUCCAGAAAGGGAGCUUGAGUCCAGGCCAUCCAUCUCUUCCCACUCACCUGCCACUCUACCACCGAGGGCCUGACACCCCUCCUUCCCCUUCUCCUCCAGUCCCCCACCUCCACCUGGCCAGUGUCUCCACAGGACACUGUACUGUGCUGCCAGCUGCAGCUCCCUUCCUCCCGUGGCCUCUGCUCCACAUGUGAACCCCAGGGACUCAAGACCUGCACUGAGACCUCCUCCUCCACACUCACCCUUCCAUGGGGCCUCAGCUACCUGGGAUUCUGCCCUCCUCCCCAUACUAUCCUCUGGCAUGCAGUUUGGAAUUACACUCUCCUUGUUCCCCACACAAACCAUCACAAACCCAAACAAGUUGUGCCCAGGUGUAAAGGCUGAGUCUUCUCCACAGCACCUCAGUCAGCUGUAGGGUGGGCAGUGGGAGGGCCCACAGGCUGAGGGAGAGGGAUAGGCCUCUAUGGCCAGCCCGUGUGCUCUCAUUGGGAGCUAGCCCGCCUCACUCCAGGGAUUUAUUAAGCAUCACCCCUGUGUCAGAUGCUGUGUGACCCUCACUCUCCUCACAGCCCUCAGGCAGGGGACUCACAGAGCCCACGGCUUCGUGGUCAGAGGGUGGUUCCUCUGUGUCACCACUGGCAGGCUCAGAGUGAGGACUGUGCCGGCAUUGGAGAGAAAAGGCAACAGCUCACCUGAUGACAGGGUAUUCAGAGCAUGCAGUGUGCCUCACUGUGUGGCACCUCUGCUCCCUGCCCUUUAAGACAGGGCUUAACUCUCAACUCCGUGAGGGUCUUCUCCUUCCACAGAGGGUUGACAUUCCAUGACUAAAAUAUGCCUCUAGCAAUAGACGUUGCCUUUCAGGUAGUUAAGCGACUCAAAGACAAAACUACCACUUUGAAAAUUAGUAUUACUAUAACUUUUUUUUUUUUUUUUUUCUUUCAAGACAGGGUUUCUCUUUGUAGCCUUGGAUGUCCUAGAACUCUCUUUAUAGACCAGGAUGGCUGGAGAUCCACCUGCCUCUACCUGUUGAGUGCUGGGACUGAAGGUGUGUGUCACCACUGCCUGUCCCCAACCACUUGUUAAACUGAGUUCAUUCACAUCACACUUCCACCUAAUACACUUUCACUUAAUACAGUCACAUGUACCCACAUUCUGGAGCUGGACGUCCCUGUUUCCUUUCUGGUGUCCCACACCUAAGUCUGUGAAGAGAGCUUACUCUCCACCGGGCCUGAAACCACCUGCCUGUAGUCAGACUCCCCCAACACAGUGUCCCCUACAGACUCCCCCAACACAGUGUCCCCAACUGAAGCCCAAUGUUACAGCUUUAUUAGAACAAUGGCUGGUUACUGAGUAACCACCACAAAGGCACACACACCUGCCUCAUACAAGCUUCCCUCCCACUGAGCUUCACAGGCUCUCCAGACAAAAGAUUAAAACAAUACCGAAAGGCCAGAGGCAUAGUGUUCUUUGGGUUGCACUGUAAUCUUAACUGUUUUUCAGACUGGUUCUUAUCUGGUUUGGAUAUUAUUUCCCAAUCUGAGUGUUGAAAACUUGUUGCCCAAACCAAAAAGGGGAGGGGGGAGGAGGAGAGAAAACUUGAUGCCCAUGUGGCAAUGUUAAAAGGAGACCCUGAAGAUGGGUGUGGUGACACAAGACCAUAAUUCCAGCCUUCGGGAGGGAGAGGCAGGACGGUCAGGAGUUCAGAGUCAUCCUGUACCACAUAGCAUGUUUGAAGAUACAUGUCUCAGUCCUCUUUCUCUACAAAGUAAAUGGUGGGCCCAUUCCAAAGUGAGGCUUAAGAUGGCCAGAUUGAUCACCAUCUGUAAUCCCUGGACUCAGGAGCCCAGAAAAGGAAGAUUUUGAGUUGGAGGCUGCACAGUAAGACCCUGAUGCAAAAAAACAAAACAGAACUCGGGGACACAGUAGAGGGUCCUUGAGGCAACACCCUUAGAGGAAACUUGUAAUGAGAAUUCUGGAAGUUUGGUUUCUUUAAAAACUGAAGUAUUACAAUGUUUUAAUCCCAGGUGUGGGGAUGUGGGGCUACUUCAGACUGUCCACAGCAGCUGACCAUCAUUUACCUUGUGCUCUAGCAGGAACAUGGUUUUGCCGGCUGCAGCGAUGGGAAAUGUGCUGAUAGAGAUCUCCCAGUGAUCCACAAUGGUACAACUUGGCACAGCCUGGGCUCUGGUCAUUCCAACCCAAUGACUGGCCCAUAACUGACCUCUCCACCCUGCAUGGUGAUGCAUCUGC